AAAACACAUCACCAUCGUCUUCGUUCGUAUAUAGGGUUUAUGCACGAAAAUCAAUCACGAAUUUGAAAUCACUCAAAACCAUGAAAAACAGAACAACCCACUAUUAACAUCUGUCCACCACCGUCAACAAUGAAGUUUUCACGUUUCCUACAAUUCUCACAUCUCCGCAAAACCCUAAUUCAAAACCCUAAUUUCCUUUCUCCCCAAAUUCCAAAACCCUACAUCAUCCCCCCAAAUCCAAAAUCCCAUUUACGCAAUUACAACACCGAUUCACCGAAUCACGAAAAUGUAUCAGCAAUCGUCGAGGAACUCGCAGGAUUAACGCUUAUCGAAGCAAUGGAUCUCGUUGAAGUGAUGCGAGAGAAAAAGGGAAUCAACGAGCUUCCGAUUAUGAUGUUGAUGGUUCCUGGAAUGGGAAUAAGGGGAAUGCCGAGGGGUGUGGGUGGAGGGAAAGGGGGUGGUGGUAGUGAAAAGGGAGGUGAGGUGAAGAAAGUUGAGGAGAAAACGGCGUUUGAUGUGAAGCUUGAUGGUUUUGAUGCUGCGUCGAAGAUUAAGGUUAUUAAAGAAGUUAGGAGUUUUACUAGUUUGGGGUUGAAGGAAGCUAAGGAUUUGGUGGAGAAAUCGCCUACGCUUUUGAAGAAAGGUGUGACGAAGGAAGAGGCCGAGGGGAUUAUUGCUAAGUUGAAGGAGGUUGGUGCAAAAGCUUCUAUGGAAUAAUGAGGGGAAGAAAUGAAAAGAAUGCAGCAUUGUUCUAACAACAACCAAAAAUUGAAGCUCUUAGGUUCAGUGGGGAAAAAGCCGGGAUGAAAAACAAAACAUGGCGAAGAGGUUUCGUUUUUGUAGCAGCCAGUGCCUCUCACCCAAGUUUCCAUUGUCACUGAAGGUCUUUUCAUAGUGCAGAGCUGUUAUAUUUUGUUGUAUUUGAAAACUUUGUUCAGCUCAUUAUACUCCGUCUCCCCCCUUUUCAUUUUUAUUUUUCCCGUGUAUCAGGCCCUUUUUGCACUAAAAUUUAUUGAUAGUUUUUUAACCAAUGUUGUAGAAUUGAUUUAUGAUGGUGGAGUUUUAGACCCAUUGGAUGUCGACUGAACUACAAUAACCACACAAUCAUGUGUAAUGAAUGAGCAACUGGAAUAGGAGUUGCAACCUACAACCUGAUUACAGUCCCUUCUUUAACUUCUUUUGGUUGUGUUCAAUUUUGUAAAACUGAUAUUACCAGACUUUUUCACUGUUCAUGUUGUACCUCAUUUCCGUUUA